GUGAGGAAUAUUGGUCAAUGGGCGCGAGCCUGAACCAGCCAAGUCGCGUGAGGGAGGACGGCCCUACGGGUUGUAAACCUCUUUUGCCGGGGAGCAACGGGCGUCACGUGUGGCGCCACUGAGAGUACCCGGAGAAAAAGCAUCGGCUAACUCCGUGCCAGCAGCCGCGGUAAUACGGAGGAUGCGAGCGUUAUCCGGAUUUAUUGGGUUUAAAGGGUGCGUAGGCGGAUCGUUAAGUCAGUGGUCAAAUUGAGGGGCUCAACCCCUUCCCGCCAUUGAAACUGGCGUUCUUGAGUGGAAGAGAAGUAUGCGGAAUGCGUGGUGUAGCGGUGAAAUGCAUAGAUAUCACGCAGAACCCCGAUUGCGAAGGCAGCAUGCCGGCUUCCGACUGACGCUGAAGCACGAAAGCGUGGGGAUCGAACAGGAUUAGAAACCCGAGUAGUCC
rnacentral:rRNA from 1 species